GGUUAAGUUAAUAAGGGCGCACGGUGGAUGCCUUGGCACUAGAAGCCGAUGAAGGACGUGACUAACGACGAAAUGCCUUG
rnacentral:rRNA from 1 species